rnacentral:rRNA from 1 species
GGGUUGUGAGGUUAAGCGACUAAGCGUACACGGUGGAUGCCCUGGCAGUCAGAGGCGAUGAAGGACGUGCUAAUCUGCGAAAAGCGUCGGUAAGGUGAUAUGAACCGUUACAGCCGGCGAUGUCCGAAUGGGGAAACCCAGUGCAAUUCGUUGCACUAUCGUUAACUGAAUACAUAGGUUAACGAGGCGAACCGGGGGAACUGAAACAUCUAAGUACCCCGAGGAAAAGAAAUCAACCGAGAUUCCCCCAGUAGCGGCGAGCGAACGGGGAGCAGCCCAGAGUCUGAAUCAGCUUGUGUGUUAGUGGAACGGUCUGGAAAGUCCGACGGUACAGGGUGAUAGUCCCGUACACCAAAAUGCACAGGUUGUGAACUCGAAGAGUAGGGCGGGACACGUGGUAUCCUGUCUGAAUAUGGGGGGACCAUCCUCCAAGGCUAAAUACUCCUGACUGACCGAUAGUGAACCAGUACCGUGAGGGAAAGGCGAAAAGAACCCCGGCGAGGGGAGUGAAAAAGAACCUGAAACCGUGUACGUACAAGCAGUGGGAGCACCUUCGGGUGUGACUGCGUACCUUUUGUAUAAUGGGUCAGCGACUUAUAUUCUGUAGCAAGGUUAACCGUAUAGGGGAGCCGCAGGGAAACCGAGUCUUAACUGGGCGUUAAGUUGCAGGGUAUAGACCCGAAACCCGGUGAUCUAGCCAUGGGCAGGUUGAAGGUUGGGUAACACUAACUGGAGGACCGAACCGACUAAUGUUGAAAAAUUAGCGGAUGACUUGUGGCUGGGGGUGAAAGGCCAAUCAAACCGGGAGAUAGCUGGUUCUCCCCGAAAGCUAUUUAGGUAGCGCCUCGUGAACUCAUCUUCGGGGGUAGAGCACUGUUUCGGCUAGGGGGUCAUCCCGACUUACCAACCCGAUGCAAACUACGAAUACCGAAGAAUGUUAUCACGGGAGACACACGGCGGGUGCUAACGUCCGUCGUGAAGAGGGAAACAACCCAGACCGCCAGCUAAGGUCCCAAAGUCACAGUUAAGUGGGAAACGAUGUGGGAAGGCACAGACAGCCAGGAUGUUGGCUUAGAAGCAGCCAUCAUUUAAAGAAAGCGUAAUAGCUCACUGGUCGAGUCGGCCUGCGCGGAAGAUGUAACGGGGCUAAACUGUGCACCGAAGCUGCGGCAGCGACACUAUGUGUUGUUGGGUAGGGGAGCGUUCUGUAAGCCUGCGAAGGUGGCCUGUGAGGGUUGCUGGAGGUAUCAGAAGUGCGAAUGCUGACAUAAGUAACGAUAAUGCGGGUGAAAAGCCCGCACGCCGGAAGACCAAGGGUUCCUGUCCAACGUUAAUCGGGGCAGGGUGAGUCGACCCCUAAGGCGAGGCCGAAAGGCGUAGUCGAUGGGAAACAGGUUAAUAUUCCUGUACUUGGUGUUACUGCGAAGGGGGGACGGAGAAGGCUAUGUUAGCCGGGCGACGGUUGUCCCGGUUUAAGCAUGUAGGCGGAGGUUCCAGGUAAAUCCGGUACCUUUUAACGCUGAGGUGUGAUGACGAGGCACUACGGUGCUGAAGUAACAAAUGCCCUGCUUCCAGGAAAAGCCUCUAAGCAUCAGGUAACAUUAAAUCGUACCCCAAACCGACACAGGUGGUCAGGUAGAGAAUACCAAGGCGCUUGAGAGAACUCGGGUGAAGGAACUAGGCAAAAUGGUGCCGUAACUUCGGGAGAAGGCACGCUGAUAUGUAGGUGAAGCCCCUGCGGGUGGAGCUGAAAUCAGUCGAAGAUACCAGCUGGCUGCAACUGUUUAUUAAAAACACAGCACUGUGCAAACACGAAAGUGGACGUAUACGGUGUGACGCCUGCCCGGUGCCGGAAGGUUAAUUGAUGGGGUUAUCCGUAAGGAGAAGCUCUUGAUCGAAGCCCCGGUAAACGGCGGCCGUAACUAUAACGGUCCUAAGGUAGCGAAAUUCCUUGUCGGGUAAGUUCCGACCUGCACGAAUGGCGUAAUGAUGGCCAGGCUGUCUCCACCCGAGACUCAGUGAAAUUGAACUCGCUGUGAAGAUGCAGUGUACCCGCGGCAAGACGGAAAGACCCCGUGAACCUUUACUAUAGCUUGACACUGAACAUUGAGCCUUGAUGUGUAGGAUAGGUGGGAGGCUUUGAAGCGUGGACGCCAGUCUGCGUGGAGCCAACCUUGAAAUACCACCCUUUAAUGUUUGAUGUUCUAACGUUGGCCCCUAAUCGGGGUUGCGGACAGUGUCUGGUGGGUAGUUUGACUGGGGCGGUCUCCUCCCAAAGAGUAACGGAGGAGCACGAAGGUUAGCUAAUCCUGGUCGGACAUCAGGAGGUUAGUGCAAUGGCAUAAGCUAGCUUGACUGCGAGCGUGACGGCGCGAGCAGGUGCGAAAGCAGGUCAUAGUGAUCCGGUGGUUCUGAAUGGAAGGGCCAUCGCUCAACGGAUAAAAGGUACUCCGGGGAUAACAGGCUGAUACCGCCCAAGAGUUCAUAUCGACGGCGGUGUUUGGCACCUCGAUGUCGGCUCAUCACAUCCUGGGGCUGAAGUAGGUCCCAAGGGUAUGGCUGUUCGCCAUUUAAAGUGGUACGCGAGCUGGGUUUAGAACGUCGUGAGACAGUUCGGUCCCUAUCUGCCGUGGGCGCUGGAGAAUUGAGGGGGGCUGCUCCUAGUACGAGAGGACCGGAGUGGACGCAUCACUGGUGUUCGGGUUGUCAUGCCAAUGGCAUUGCCCGGUAGCUAAAUGCGGAAGAGAUAAGUGCUGAAAGCAUCUAAGCACGAAACUUGCCCCGAGAUGAGUUCUCCCUGAGACUUUAAGUCUCCUGAAGGAACGUUAAAGACGAUGACGUUGAUAGGUCGGGUGUGUAAGCGUAGCGAUACGUUGAGCUAACCGAUACUAAUGAACCGUGAGGCUUAACCUUACAACGCCGAAGGUGUUU